rnacentral:rRNA from 1 species
AGCGAACGCUGGCGGCAGGCUUAACACAUGCAAGUCGAACGCACUCUUCGGAGUGAGUGGCAGACGGGUGAGUAACGCGUGGGAAUCUACCCAGCCCUUCGGAAUAGCUCCGGGAAACUGGAAUUAAUACCGAGUACGCCCUACGGGGGAAAGGAUUUAUCGGGGUUGGAUGAGCCCGCGUUGGAUUAGCUAGUUGGUGGGGUAAUGGCCUACCAAGGCGACGAUCCAUAGCUGGUCUGAGAGGAUGAUCAGCCACACUGGGACUGAGACACGGCCCAGACUCCUACGGGAGGCAGCAGUGGGGAAUAUUGGACAAUGGGCGCAAGCCUGAUCCAGCCAUGCCGCGUGAGUGAUGAAGG